GGUAGGCAGAAGUACGGCCCUCCCACUCUACCCCUUAACCACUCCCGUACCUGCAACUGACAGCAGAGGUAAACAGGUGGCAGACUGGGAGGGGUUGUCACAUUGUUCUUUGCUUCAGGCUUUACAACCCUGCCCACUUAUGUUAUCAAAUGGAUCAAGUUAGUGAAUUUCAGGAGAGAAAGAUACUCCUGUCCAAAUACUUGACUCUGGUUCAUUCAACUAAAAAGGCUCCACUUCUCAGCGAUGGCAGUCCGAGUCACCAGGACAUUUUCUCUGUUAAUUGUGAUAUCACUUAGCAUUAUUUUUUUUAUUCUACAAUGGAAACGUUCAGUAACAAACUUCAGUUUCUCAGGGAAAGUCAGACACAUGAAGGGAAACAGGUCACAUGAAAAUAUCAUUACACUCUCUGGAAACAAAGGGAACUCGACUCCACGUCCUGCUGUGUUAACCACAACACCCCAGAUGAAAAAAGCUGCUUCAACCAAAGGAAACCCAGUGACAACUCCAAAGAAACAACAAAUGAAAACUUCUACAAAUGCAGCAGCAGCUGAGACGCCAAUGCCCGUCCUCUACAAGAAAUCUUUCAAGAAGCUUCCAAAGUGGGAUUUUGAGGAUGUUUAUAACCAGGAUGGCCGUCCUGGACAGAGAACCUCUCCCCAGUCUCUAAGAAACUCGAAGGACGAGAGCUUCAAGAAGGCUUUUCUUCCCAACAUACGUUUGUUUCUGCACAAAGACAACAUCAACAUGAGCGAAUGGAACCGACUUUCACAUUUUAACAAUCCUUUUGGUUUUAUGGAGUUGGAGUACGAUGAUGUGAUGCCUUCAGUGAAGCUGAUUCCAAAGCCAACAGAGCCUCUGCUCCAUCCAAAACCAGGAGGUGAUGGCUGUGUGCGCUGUGCCGUGGUUGGUACCGCAGGAAUCCUCAGUGGCUCCAAAGUCGGUGCAGAGAUUGACUCUCAUGAUUAUGUUUUCCGGAUGAACGGGGCCUUGACCAAGGGUUAUGAGGAAGACGUAGGAAACAGAACAUCUGUGUACGUUCACACGGCCCACUCCAUCACCACAUCGCUUAUUUUACUGACGGAGUACGGCUACACGUCUGCCCCUCAUGAUGAGGGGAUAAAGUACGUCUUGAUUCCUGAAGGAAUGAGGGACUUCCAGUGGCUGGAGGGUCUUCUGAAAGGACAAAGUGUUCGCGCCGGCCCGUACCACAAACAAAUGCCCAGGACAUACUACUCAGGACAGUACAACGAGAGCCGUUUCUACGUUCUGCACCAAGACUUCCUCCGCUACGUAAGAAACAGGUUCUUAAUGUCUCCUAAUCUAAACGCUUCAUUCUGGCCAAUAGUCAGACCAAGCAAUGGGGCUUUCACUCUCUUCCUGGCUCUGCACACCUGUGACAUAGUGAAUGCAUACGGGUUCAUGACGGAAGACUACAGCAAAUACUCCAACUACUACUAUGAGAAGCAGGUUAGAACCAAUGUUGUUUUCUACAUCAACCACGACUACAUUCUGGAGAAGAAUUUGUGGAAAAGUCUUCACGACAGGAAAAUACUUAAGCUAUAUCAGAAAUCUGAAUCAGGGACAGAAAAUCCAAAGAAACUAAAUUACAUCAAGAAUUGAACAUGUGUUAAAGCAAAUCCUUGACUAUAAAGUAAUGUCAUUGUUUCGGGGUGGGGGCGCCUGGUCAGGUCUAAGUUGGUGGUACGGCCCCUCGUGUUGACAGCAGGUGCAGAGCAGUGGAGAGCGACAAUCUGUCCAAAAACAAAACUCUACAGUAGACUACUAUGUAUUUAAAAUGUCUCCACAAAGCACUGUCAUAUAACCCACACAUGAGGUCAUUUAUUCUACUAUUAGAACCGUCAUUUCGCAGACUAAAUUUUCAGUUAUGUGUUAAAUAAUUAAGUUAACCCUUAUGCCUUCUCAACUUUACUACCCUCUGGACACCUUUGUGGCAAAAAUGUACACACAUAAAGAAACAGCCAUAAAAAGCCUCAUACAUUCAUUUUUUUUUUUUUUGAUACAUUAUUCCAUAUAUCUUGCUUCGUAUAUUUUGAUGUCUUCAGUAUAUAUCUUUACAGUGUACGGUAUAUAUUGCACUCACAGUCUGAGGACUCAACUCUCCUCGGCCACAAGGAGGAGUCAGUGUAACACAACAACAGAACCCGUGCUGACAAGACAGUUGGCUCCAAAACUGCUCAUCCAUACAUAAACAGAAAGGGUGAAGAGAACACGGGUGAACAGUUUUUGUUUGAAGGAUUUAUUUCUGUUCAUGUACUUUUUUUUUUUUUUUUUACCUUUUUAACAACAUAAACAUUGCAUGUUGUUCAUCAUCUUGACCUUUUAGUCAUGACAUCUUCAUCAUGUAAAUAACGUAAAGGUCCAGGGGAUGAACCAUCAGGACAGGAGAAAACAAACAACUAAAAGGUAACUAAUAAUUUCUGUCAUACAAUAGAAAGAUGUGCUUUUUUGUAUUUAAUUGCUCUAUCAAUUAAAAAAUGAAAUUAUUUAACUUUAA